AUAGGAUCACUCGAGCCAGGCCUUUGGAUCGGCAACUCCUGUAGAAGGGAAGAAAAAAAAAAAAAAAAAAAAGAAAGAAAAAGAAAGAAACGAACAGCAUCCUCUAUCCUAAUUGUUCCUAAACCUGGCACGCCACAUUCUCUCUAGAAACACUUUCACCGCUUCAAUCAUCCUUUCAUUCGCCUCUCUACACAGUCCCAGCAACAACACCAUCCACUCCUUUCCUGUCUUCUCCACUCUUUCAUUCCUAUUAUGCCCUAACUCACUCAGUAUCACUUGUUGCAUCAUCUCAUUCCUGUCUCUGGCAUACUUCACACACUCCAGCACCACAUGUUCCGCCUUCUCAUCCUCUCCCAUGUCACACAUCUGGCACACUUUGCUGCGGGACUCAGACCACCUGUAAUUCCUUGCAUUCACAUCCAUACAACUUAAAUGUGGCUCACUGAUCUUGAUCUUGAAUAUUCUUGAUCGUGGUGAAUGGCAAGGCAGCAGGUCCAGAUAAUAUACCGUAUGAGUUCUGCAAGAAUGGUGAGAAGAUAGUGAUUGAUAGAAUGACGGAAUUAUUCAACCGAUUGUGGGAUGAAGAGAGAAUGCCAAGAAAGUGGAAUGAGUGCGUCUCUUGCAUAAGGGAGGAUUCAAGAAUAAGAAUAAGUUGAAGAACUACAGGCCAAUUGCAUUAGUGAAAACAGGCUACACUCUACUUGACAUGCACAAUAAAUUCAUUGACUGCAGUUAUUAAAAGAUGAAUCUUGCAACACUGUUUCAUGUAUGAAGCAUACAACCUCGUUCACACAUUGGCGAAUUUUGAUGGCGCUCCACUGCGACUCUGCUGCAACUUCCUGAAUGGUGACUGCUGCGAAUCAUGUUGUGACUCAUGCUUGAUGAACAUGCUGUGAAUGCAUUACACUCAUUGAUGGAGUUGCUUAUACUCGUAAAUCUUCUCAUGUCUGUGUGAGCUCUCCUUGUGUGUGCACCAUCAGGAUGCUUCAUGAUGUGGAAAAGAAGUAAAAAUAAGAACAAAUAAAUUAUAAAAAAAUUUUGGAUUCUCACAAAGUCACACAAUACUGAGAGAGAGAGAGAGAGAGAGAGAGAGAGAGAGAGAGAGAGAGAGAGAGAGAGAGAGAGAGAGAGAGAGAGAGAGAGAGAGAGAGAGAGAGAGAGAGAGAGAAUGAAACACCUUAAUGAGAUACUUCAGGUUUAUUUCUUUGUACCUUGGUCUUAUACAUACACUUUAUAUUUAAAAAUUUAUUAAUAUAACUGGCACAUCACAAAAGGCCAUAGCAAGUUUUUUUUUUUUUUUUUUUACUUUACAAGUUACUGAUUUUGCAAAAGGAAAAAUGAGUCCCCUUCCCUUACUCAUCAUCCUUUAUGUCCUCCCAAAAGCUCCACCGUGCCUUUUCUAUUGCUUGCCACAACUCUUCACUUCUGUCAAUGUAUUCCUUGUUUGUUUUCUUGAUGUCAAUGGGAACAUUCCAGUCUGGGAAUAAAAUAUUAUAAUCUAAGUAUAUAUAUAAUGUUCAUAUUCAUUACAGAUAUGAUGAAGAUGACAAAUAGAUGCACUAGCUUUGGGGGUUUAAUUCUAUAUGCUGUGUGGAGUGUGUGGUCAAAUACUGAUCAAGAUGGUUAGAGUGGGUACAAAGUCAUUUGUGAUGAGCUGUGUAAUUUCAGGAGAUAUAUGUGGAUGCAGUAUUUCCUGUGAGCCAGAUGUGUGAAACAUGUUUAGCACAGGUAUCUAUUUUGGACAUUUGUGGAUUUGAUUAAACAUAUGACAAAAUUCAUAAGAGAUUUGGACUAUUUUGAGAUUAUGUGGACUAAUGUAAUAUUUUUUAAAAUGAAUGAGGGCUGUCAGAGAUGCAUCAUGUCUCUUUGACUGUUGAAGGUUAUAUAUUUAUCUCUGUAAAACCAGAAAUAAAGAGGGGAAGAAUC